CCCAAGUAGGGCGUACUCCACAAUGACCACUUCAGAUGUGGCCAUGGAGGAUGCUGAACAAAGAAGAACUAUCCAGUGUGUGACGCCAGGGAGCCACCACUAACAAUAGCUUCAUGCCAAUGAAUCAUCCCUCAGUUGAGGACGACGUGCCUGCAGAGAUUCAUCAAGACUGCUCCAGCUCGUGAUUGGAAAGGGAGAGAAAGAAAUGCUGGGACAUCCAGCUGUCACACAGCUAACCGGAAAGCCAUGUGGUCAAACAGAGGCACAUUGGAGCUCUUAGGUGGAAAAAUGGGUGCCCACUUAAAAGCUACACAACCUGGAACACGGUGUCAGGACACUUUAAUUCUUUCUCCUCCUGUCCUCAUCUGGUAGCCUCAUGCAAUUCAGAGGAAACACAAAGCGGAGCAUUCCCAAAGGGCUCACAUUGUUUGGGAUUUGUCCACGUUGACUCUUCAGGCUGCAGUUGCAUUUGCUGGAUACCUGCUAUGUGCCAAAUCUCAUCUCCCUCCCUUCCAUCAAAACAAACAAAUCCCAAUAGGGAGUAGUGAGGUUAUAAAAGGAUUACCUCAUUUAAACUUAUUAUAAACACACAUACACACACCCCACAGGUCCCAACUGCAGAACUAUUAAAUCAACUUGAAGUAAUGACAGGUGGAUAGGCAGAUGGAACAAAGUACUUCCCAUAAACAUAGAGUCGGAUUUGAACCCCUAUCGCACAGCCAGGCAGGGGCUACUCACAAAGUUAACUCUCAUUCCUCUUUGCCCUCAUUACUCCCCAUAACUUGCUCAUCUUUCUGUUGUAGAAUUGGUCACUCCGGAUUGUACUUAUUUGUUUAACUUCCUUUCUAUCACCACACUGAGCAUCUUAAGGGCCACAUCAAAGCUUUUUCUAUCAGUACACCCAGAGCUCAG
rnacentral:lncRNA from 1 species